rnacentral:rRNA from 1 species
CGCUGGCGGCAGGCCUCAAACAUGCAAGUCUAGGGGUGUAGCAAUACAUCACCGGCGGACGGGUGCGUAACGCGUGGGAAUAUACCAAUCGAUUCGGAACAACUGAGGGAAACUUCAGCUAAUACCGAAUACGUCCUAACGGAGAAAGAUUUAUCGUCGAUAGAUUAGCCCGCGUUCGAUUAGCUAGUUGGUGGGGUAACGGCCCACCAAGGCGACGAUCGAUAGCUGUUCUGAGAGGAAGAUCAGCCACACUGGGACUGAGACACGGCCCAGACUCCUACGGGAGGCAGCAGUUGGGAAUCUUGGACAAUGGGGAAACCCUGAUCCAGCCAUGCCGCGUGAGUGAUGAAGGCCUUCGGGUUGUAAAACUCUUUCGCGCACGACGAUAAUGACGGUAGUGCGAGAAGAAGCUCCGGCUAACUUCGUG